UUACGGCCUUCAGGACAGGCUGGGACAUUCUGUUCUUCUUCUUUGAGCUGGUGGGGCUGUCAAAAUCAAAGCCGCUGACCACUGCCCUUCUGUAAGACGUGGACCUCAAGCCUCGCCGAAGGGAGCCGGGACUGUCCAUGUCGUUGUCGACUUCGCCUUCCUCCCCUUCGUGGCCCAAGGGUGCUCCCAGUCCCUCCACCAUGCUGCGCACCUUGAGAAGCCUCCUAUGGGACUCCACGUUCUGACUAUUGGAUUUACUCAGUUUAAUUUCAGAGGCAAGGCUUUUUGGGAUAAUCUGCUGCUUUCCCAUCUUGAGGGCCGCCGGGCUGUUGGUACUCAAAACCACGGAAGGGUUCGGGAGCUCAUUCCCUUGGGAGGGCAGCCUUUGGAGUGGCAGUUUUUGUUCUGAAGACUUGUGUGGGAGAGCAGGAGAGAGUCUCGAGGGGGCCAGCUCCAAGUCCCCAGCUGGCUGACCAGUUUGUGAUACUGGGCCAGAUGAGUCGGUUUUAUGGGCAAGGCCAUUGGCAAUGGGCGAAGAUACCUUACUGGCAGUCACCCCGGUGCAAUCCUCAUCGGUGGCGCAAGAGGCCGGGGUGUCCGGAGUCCGGGAGGCGCACGACAACAGCGCCGCGGGCGAGGCCACGGUGCCAUUAGCAGUGGACUUCGGGGAGCCGCCCGACGCCGCGUAAGAAACCAGGGGUGACUUGGGCCGUCGGAGUCGAGGAGAAGCAGCUCUGUAGUCCGGGGAUACCGUGCGACCAUUGGUCACCGGCCUCCGAUGCGCGCUCAGAAGCUGGGGGCUCCUGGACACCGUCCUGCCGUGCGGGUCGGCGGGUACGCGGACCGGAGUCUGCGGCGUGGGAAGGGCAGCCAGCUCUUCCACAGGGAAGUCGGUGAUCAGCAGCCCGCUGGGGCUCUGGUACGACUGUGGCCGCGGCUUGCUCCGGCUGAGCAACUGGAGCGGAGGGGUGGACCGUCUCCGCCACAAAGGGGUGACGCCGUUGCUGGAAAAAUCCACCUCGCUUUCGCCGUCCAUAGCGGGGCCUUUGAGCCAGCCCCGAGAGGAGGAAAGCUGCUCAGGUUGCCUAAGAGAAAGGAACUUUGCCUCCGGACAACUAGUCUUGUCUGGGAGCCUAACCGGGUUCCAGCCCGGCGGUCACACGGGUGUCGCGCGGGACUCGGCAGCGCCGCACUUACCCGCCCUUUCUCGGGCACAGCGUCUCCCGCCAAGCUUCCCGACCGAGGACUGAGAUCCGAGCCGCAGUUGAUCAGAUGAAUCCCGUCUCCUCUGCGUCCUUCCCGCCCCCCAAGCCCGCCGGCACCUAGAGAGCUCGCCGCCACCGCAGGACCCUUGGAAAGAGUUCAGCUGGCUGGGACAGCUCGCCGUGGGACGCUCCCCCGCGUCUCCAUCUAGCCGCCCGCCCCGCGCCAGUCCACCCGGUCCCCGGUAUGCGGUCUCCAGCGCGCUCACCCUUCCGGGGCACAGACCAAGGAGUACUCCCUGUCCCCGUGGGUGGCCUGGGUCCUUACUAAAGCGCGGAGACAACCGCUCAGCCUGGGACAGCAGAGGCCCGCGGCGCCGGCCCCGCCCCCGCGCUACGCCCCGCCCCAGCACGCCGGGGAAGCUCACACCGAAGCGCCCAGGAGUUCCCGCCCCUGCCUUCCCGGAGUGCGCUCAGUGAUUGUAAACGGGGCGCGCACACCUGAGCUGGCUGUCCAGCUCCUGAGUACAAGAAUGCAGGAGCGCGGGCGGCCGCCCUAGGGGCCAGCUGGAGGGCGCGGUCGCAGAUCUGAACACAGCGUGGGAAUGGUCGUGAGAGCAGAGAAAGGGGUUCUUGAUCAUCCCUAGACCUGGAGGGGAAGGUUGGAAGAGUGAAACACGUCGGAGCUUGGUGCUGCUGCGACACUUCACUGGGCCACUUGUGGGCGUCAAACUGAACCUCACUCUGGGCUCUCACUCAUCUACUUGCAAUAAUGUGUGGACUACAGACAGAUUUGCUUGUAUGCACUCAGAGGAGACUGAGAGGCCAGGUGGACUAUGACUCUACACGUCCUAAUGUCCUAAUCUUUGUGCCCUGUAUGUUUGAAAGUCACACAGUAAAAGUAAACAAAAUACAAAAUAUUUAUUAGUGUUUAGUUGUGUACAAUAUAAAUUGAAAAUCUGUACGUAGAAUAAAAUACCGAACAAGGAGUAAAUUCCAAAUCCUUAUUAGGGAUUAAGAGGCUGGGCCUACCCCUACAAUAUAGUCUUUUCUCACUAACUUUAUCUAGUCAAGCCAAGUCCACAGCCUUAGAGCCUUCAAGUUUAUUUCUUGGCUUGUCACUUCAUUGGAACGCGAGUUGGAAUUACCCCUGAUUUCCCGAACCACCUGAUCUCUUUCUUUUUCACGUUAAUCGAAAUUUGUACAUCUGAAUGCUUACGUAUAUGUCUGUGUAUUAGUGCUUAAUCUAUUCUGCCUUUGCAUUGUAGUUUUGAAGCGGGCAGGGGUUAUAUUUGUGGCUCAUGCACACAGUAAGUGAUAAAUAUCUGUGGAGUAUGGAAGUAGAUGAAUAAGAGAAAUGAACUGGGCCAGUGAUCAUUCGUCUUUUAGAUGUUGGUUGCCAAGUUGGCUAUGUCUUGGUGAAAUUCCAGGUAUGUACGAAUAAUGAGGUGACCUGAGAAGACAUGAUUUUGGUUGAUGAGAUCUGUAGAAUUGGUUGUUAGCAAGACACGGGGCAGGCUCCAACCUUUCAAAGUUCAUGUGAGUACCCACUGUUUAAAGCCAUGCUUCUUUCUGCUUUGGGUGGCAAAAGGAAGGGUGGUUCUUUAUGUUUUUCUAUAAUUACCAAAGUGACACGGUGAAGGUCUUUGAUCUCAGAAACUUUUUUGAACUCGAACAAAUGGAAUCAAAAUGUAUAUCGAAAUCAUUUUUGAGAAGAUUUACUAACAAUUUCAUACGGAAAUAAGUGGAUUCUAUGUUCAUCUAUGGAGCCUUGCUGUAGGGGAUUUUCAUAUCAAUAAUAUUAGUUUUAUAUAAUAAAUUUAACUUC
ensembl:antisense